rnacentral:rRNA from 1 species
UACGUAGGGGGCGAGCGUUGUCCGGAUUUAUUGGGCGUAAAGAGCUCGUAGGCGGUUCGAUAAGUCAGCUGUGAAAACCAUGGGCUUAACUCAUGGCCUGCAGUUGAGACUGUCGGGCUGGAGUGUGGGAGAGGAGAGUGGAAUUCCUGGUGUAGCGGUGAAAUGCGUAGAGAUCUGGAGGAACACCGAUGGCGAAGGCAGCCUUCUGGGCCAACACUGACGCUCAUGCACGAAAGCGUGGGGAGCAAACAGG